rnacentral:piRNA from 2 species
UAACUAUGGUCCCUGCUCAGCAUUCA